AGAGUUUGAUUCCCGGCUCAGAUUGAACGCUGGCGGCAUGCCUUACACAUGCAAGUCGAACGGCAGCGCGGGAGCAAUCCUGGCGGCGAGUGGCGAACGGGUGAGUAAUACAUCGGAACGUGCCCAAUCGUGGGGGAUAACGCAGCGAAAGCUGUGCUAAUACCGCAUACGAUCUACGGAUGAAAGCAGGGGAUCGCAAGACCUUGCGCGAAUGGAGCGGCCGAUGGCAGAUUAGGUAGUUGGUGAGGUAAAGGCUCACCAAGCCUUCGAUCUGUAGCUGGUCUGAGAGGACGACCAGCCACACUGGGACUGAGACACGGCCCAGACUCCUACGGGAGGCAGCAGUGGGGAAUUUUGGACAAUGGGCGAAAGCCUGAUCCAGCCAUGCCGCGUGCAGGAUGAAGGCCUUCGGGUUGUAAACUGCUUUUGUACGGAACGAAACGGCCUUUUCUAAUA
rnacentral:rRNA from 1 species